rnacentral:rRNA from 1 species
UCUAAGUUGCGCGAUUUACUGGGCGUAAGGGUCCUGUAGGCGGUCUGGUAAGUGGAAGGUGAUUCCUACGGUUCAACCGUAAAAUUGCCUUCCAAACUGCUGGACUUGAGGCAGGGAAAGGUCGGCGGAAUUCCCGGGGUAGCGGUGAAAUGCGUAAAUAUCGGGAGGAACACCAGUGGCGAAGGCGGCCGACUGGAACUGUCCUGACGCUGAGGGACGAAAGCUAGGGGAGCAAACCGGAUUAAAUACCCGGGUAGUCCUAGCCGUAAACGAUGGAUGCUAGAUGUGGCCUACGAAAGUAGGCCGUAUCGCAAGCUAACGCGUUAAGCAUCCCGCCUGGGGAGUACGGCCGCAAGGUUGAAACUCAAAUGAAAUUGACGGAUGU